CAGAGUUUUCGUGAGGUAAUCUUUCUAAUGCUGGGAGUGAAGGCAGUGCGUAUGACCGCUUGAUAUGAAAGACACAUCCUGUUUUUAAAGGUGGAUCAUGAGUGAAGCUCUGCAGGUCUGCCAUUAGCUUGAUAACAGUGGUUUAUGUGAAUUGAGUGAAUUCAAUUUAUAAAUAAAUCUUUCACCAAGCAUUCACCUAUUUACGGACAAAACAGAUCCAAAUCUUGUUCAGCCUGAUGCUCAACCUUGUAUGAUGAUGACCACAGCCAGGUAAUGGAGAUCUGUUUUAAUCACAGCCUGCGUCUCAAGAUCAACAUGACAAUACCAGACCAUUUCUUAUCUUACUCUUAUCUGACUAAAUGUUCAGCAUCAUUGCAACAAAACAAAGAACAUUAGAUGGAGUAUUGGAGUAUUGGAUGAUCCCGUAAAGAAAAUAAUAUGGACUUUUUUGGUGAGAUUCUACAAAGAUUGACACAAUCCUAUUGACUUUUAUUUUACAGUUAAUAAUGCAUUAUAAACAUCCCAUUCAUUUGUAUUCUAUGUCAUCGAUCUGUUUGUGCUAAAAUGUAUACAUCUGAAUGUAAUGUCAAUAAUAUGUUAAUAUUCAGGAUUUAUUAUCAUUUGCAUGUUUUGAUGUUGCAUAUUAUGAUUUUAUUGAUUUCAUGUAAUUGUUGUCUAUUUAAAAUUAUUUUAAUUGCCAAUUUUUUUUGUUACUUUAUUUAAUAUUGAAGCUGUUAUUUAACAUCCAUAUCUUAUUUGAGUAGUGAUUUGUUAUAUUUGCAUAAUAAUUCAUAUAUUUAUUCUGAUUGUGAUUUUAAUGCAAAUAUUUAUUAUUGUAUGACACCUCAUGUAAUGAAAAAGUGAAAAUAAAAGUAUGUUCUG